ACGGGCAUAGUUCAAUGGUAGAAUAGCGGUCUCCAAAACCGUUGAUAUGGGUUCGAAUCCUAUUGCCCGUG
rnacentral:tRNA from 2 species